rnacentral:snRNA from 1 species
AUGCUCGCUUCGGCAGCACAUAUACUAAAAUUGGAAUGAUACAGGAAGAUUAGCAUGGCCCCUGCACAAGGAUGACACGCAAAUUCGUGAAGCAUUCCAUAUUUUU